UAGUGUCAUAGCCAGAGCCAGAUGAUGUUUAUUCUGCUAACAUCCAGUCGGUCUCCGGCAGCGCUCAUUGAGGUCAGGGCUUUAUUUAUAGAAGCAGAUAUACAUUGAGAUUCGUUUUCUUUCCCUUGCUGUAAUCUACCUAAGCUCAUACAAAAUAGAAAGAAGCAUGCAGACAUGCAAGUAAUGUACUAAUUGGGCCAGAUCCAUGAAUUAGCACAGCACCAUAGAAGCCAAUGGAAAAAAGCAUUUUAGAGCAGCUGAGGAUCUUGUCUAUUAUUUCUCACAGGGAAGGGAAGGGAGGGGUUUAAAACCUGAAAUUAUAAAGCAAAAAGCAAAACCAACCAAGCAACAAAAUGUCCUGGUAUGUGGCAGAACAGGUCUGCAAUACAAAAUCCCUCCACCGAGAUCUGCAAUUUGAAGUAUUUAUUUUUUUCUCCUGUGUUCCCAAUCACUGUAAAGUGCAAGAAUCAGAGUGCAGAGCUCCAAGCAAGGAAAAGUAACAAGACUUAAAGCAAUUUACCUGCUGAAAGUGAGAAGACAUUGUCAACGUACGCAGUCUGAGAUAAAGCAAAGCAGAAGAAAAGCUGCAGUAUUUGGCUAUUUUUAGUGAAGAUAGUAGUUUGGCCACUUCCUUCUUUGACCAAGGUGACCAUGGAUUAAGUAAGUGCCAUUAGUUCUCUCGGCAUGCUGCAUCUCAGAGGGAAAGGCAUAGCUCCUGCAAAGUUUAUCAUGACAAGCCCUAAGUAUGUAAGGUAAAUGUCCAGCUGCCCUAUUGUAAAGGUAAGCAGUGGACAAUCCCCAUGCCAGAAGCCUGCAUGGAUGCUGGAAAAAAUUGCUCAGAAGUUAAAAUGCCAAGAUUUUACCAAAAGAUUCACCUCUGAAAAUGUUUGACCAACUCAAUAGUCAGUGAAAGCAACAAUUGAGUAAUUUCAAAUCUUCCUGAAAUCCUCCUGUAGUCUUUUAGCAAUAGAAAAUUUGGUAGAAAUUUGUAGUAAAAAACAUGUUCCAUUUGAUAAGGAAAUUAAUUAAUCCAAUAAUACUGCAAAGAACUAAGAUCAUGCAGUAGGACCCAUAUCUUUCCCCUCCUCCAUCACCCCCUUACCAAUUUUAGUUCUUGGUUCUUUGGCCUGGAACAGAAAUGCAUGUUUGGGUAAAAAUGCAACACAGCAAGGAAUAUACCUUUUCCUCGCAAGAGCAAGUGCAAUAUUGGAGGUGGCCAGAAGUGAUACAGAAAGCCAGGGCUACUUCAGAGUUAAAAAAAACACAUAUAGUUAGCUUUACACUCAAUUCUUAGGUAGAGAUUUUUUUAUCCACUUUUUUCAGUGGAGAACCCCAAUUAAAAAUGGAUGUUUUGUCAACAUUCUCCUUUCUUUAGACAUAGCAUCUCCAUCACUCUGAAGUCUGAGCCUGUUUGACCUGAACUGGCUCUCAGCCAACAUGAAAGGAAAGCUCUGUAGGCAAAUGCUCUGCAGUGGAAAAUGAACCACCUUCCACAAAAGUCUCAAAAGGAGAUGUUUGGACUUGUAUUUGAAGAGACCGCUUCUCAUGAUGUAGCAGUAGUUCAUCAACGUGUUAAAUUUUUAGUGGGACCACCAUUAGGUCAACACAAAGGAGGGCUCUCAUUACAAGGCAGCAAGCCAGGGCAUGUCAAGGUGCAAGCACUGGGUUUUGUUUCCACCAAUUUUAAGGUAUUAGCCUUAACAGCUGAAACUGCUGGCAAGGUUGCUAAUGCUUUCAGUGGGAAAAGAAUGAAGUCCUUUGGAAAUAAAAUGGACAAUAGCUGUGGGCUUUUUGCUUUCGACUUAGAUGACAGUGCACAAGACUGACACUCCAUGCUAACUGGCACUCCAUGCUAGAUGACAAGGAUGAACACCUGGUCACACAGCUUGUUUCUGACCUCCGAGGCAUCAGUACACAUGGUAGAGACAAUCCUGAGGAGGGGGAGCGUCACGUAGCAGAGUGAGUCUUACGCGGUGCGAGAAACUUGACAGACGUGUGGUUUCUAGGCCCCUGAGCUGUCUAUCAUCUGUGAACUUGCUCAGUCAAGCAGUGCAUUCCUCCAGAAAUUCCCAGGGGCUCGUGAAGCCAAUGGAAAGCUUUGGCUCCCUUCAGAGAGCUCUGCACCAGGUAGUUAAGGCCAACGCUCUGAGAUUACAAGUAAGUCCUUGUCUCUAUCAUCCAAACAGCAAUCAGUAACAAAGGAUUUUUUUCUUUUUUCGGUAUUCACUGCAGCUGCUGUUGCUGGUGUAGUGAAAACCCACAUUAAUAUGACUUCACAGUGCAACUGCUGGAGAAGAUCCCAUAAAUAUUUGGGAAUAAAAAAACUUAAAAUUUUUGGAGGAAUAAAUAAAAAAAAAUCUUAAAAUUUUAAUAUGAAAUUAUGCAGUUGCUAGAAACUGAAGUAAUAUAUAUGGCACAAUUCCUACUCUUGUCUCACCUAGAAUUGCUACUCUGAUACCAGGAGUAGUGUUCAUCAAAUGGAAAUACAAUGGCUUCGGCAGAAUUUCUAUUUCAGACUACAUUAGCUUAAGAAAGAAACACAGCAAGGUUUUCACACUGAGUCUUGUAAGAUACCCAAAUGGCCUAAGUGAGAACAAGGGGUUUUGAGGACUUGACUUUUAAAAAUUGUUCCACAGUGAGAACCCCAGAACCCCAAAGGUCAUCUGCAGUUUAGUGUUCAAAGAUAAAGACCCCCACAGUUUUAUCACAGGGCAUCAACUGCAGUUUAAAAAAAAUCCUAUUUUGAGUAGAUGCCAUAGCAACUAAAAAUGUCAAAAGCCAACCAACACAUAAUGAAAAAAAAAAUCUGCACAUUUACCUGCUCAAGUAGCUGUUGCUUGACCUUUUCAACCCAGACCAACUAUGUAAAUAGAAUUUAUUAACCUUGUCUAUGCAAGAAUUAAUGAAUACUUGUUAAAAGAAGGCUUCUUCCCAGUCCUAUCCAUUUCUGGUUGGUAGGUACUUCAUCAACAAGCCAAGGGAAAAUGAAUGUAGUUAAAUUAUCAUCAAUCUCAAGGUCCUGUAUGAACACAGUUCUAGUUAGAAGGACAAAGAUAACCAUAGACUCACAGAAUAGUCUGGGUUGGAAAGGGACCUUUAAACGUUAUCUAGUCCAACAGCCCCCUGCAGUGAGCAGGAACAUCUUCAACUAGAUCAGGUCGCUCAGAGCCCCGUCCAACCUGACCUUGAAUGUUUCCAGGCAUGGGGCAUCCACCACCUCUCUGGGCAACCUGUUCCACUGUUUCACCACCCUCUGUCAUGGUUUAACCCCAAACAGCAACUAUGACCCACGCAGCCGCUGGCUCAUCUCCCUCAUAGUGGGAUGGGGGGCAGAAUCAGAAGGGUAAAAGCAAGAAAGGCUCGUGGGCUGAGAUCUGACAGUUUAAUAGGUAAAGCAAAAACCGCGCAUGCAAGCAAAGCAAAACAAGGGAUUCACUGGCAGGCAGGUGUUCAGCCAUCUCCAGGAAAGCAGGGCUCCAUCACGUGUAAUGGUUACUUGGGAAGACAAACACCAUCACUCUGAACAUUCCCCUCUUCCUUCUUCUUCCCCCAGCUUUAUAUGCUGAGCAUGACGCCAUACGGUCUGGGAUAUCCCUGUGGU